UGUAAUUCCUUUGAGUUUAAUAUGUAAUUUUCCAUGACUAGAAAUUUACAGACAAGAUGAAUCUAAAGAGAAGCAGUUCAUUUGGUGGCCUAACAUCACUGUCUAUGGACACUCUUCCUACUUACAUAACAGAUGCUGCCAGGAAAAGAUCCAUGGCUGUAAGGAGAUCUCUGGAGCUAAAGGACCUCAAGGAGCAGGAGAAUGCAAAGUGGAUGAAGCAGCACAGAAUCAAGUCUCAACCUAUGAGCAGGGCAGUAGCAAUGAGAGCCCAGGCAAUGGACCCUCAUAAAGAGGUCUACCAAGAGAAACUCAAACAGCACCGAUGAGCACUUUGAAAAGAUGACUUUAUUGUAUAAACCAGCCAGGAAUGUAAUAACUUGAUUAUGAGUUCUUGUGAAUGUAGGCAAGCUGAUCUGGAGAGGAUGAAAGAUUAUCAAAGAGAGCUGAAGGAAAUCAAAACACGAGUGACAGCUCGCCCGCACCUGUCUGAGCAGGUGUCACAGAAAAAUGGCAAGAAUAAUGUUGAAUGCAGAUACAGGAAUACUUUGGAGCAAGCAGGUCUGGAUGAAAAUUUUGUGAGAUCAAAGGGAGAAACAUAUUUGGCCAUCCAUGUGGACAAUGACUGUGCGGAAGAGGAUCAUUACAGCACUGAAAGCGAUAUAUGAA